GGGAAAUCAUAAUCUCAGUUAAACACGGGUUUAUCGAGAGAGUGUUCUUCGUGUUCUUGAGAUUCAAACGAAGAUUUGGAAGCGUUAUCGGACUCAGAUUUCAGUGUUCAAGUAUCCAAAUCGAAGGUUUUGGCGAGUAGAAUCAUAAUCCAACCUCAGAAUCAGUGCAGAAUCAUCAGGUGGGUUCGGAUUUUUGAUUUUAAAUUCGGAUUAAAUAAGCUUUAAAUAGGGCUUUUUGAUUUUGAAGUUAUUGAUGUGUUUUGAUGAUUGUAUGUUGUAGAGAAUUGAAUUGUGAGCAUUUUCAUAUAUUAUAUGCUUGAUUUGGAGUUCAAUAACAUGUAGAAAAGUCAGUUUGAUUAUUGAAACUGUGUUCUUGGUGUUCUUGAGUUUGUUGCCGGAAAAGUUUGAGUUUUGGCCGGAUUUUUCGAUCCGUUAAAUCUGGGUUGAUAUGGAUAGUACCAUUAGGAAGAGCAUGUGAAGAGGAAGCUAGUCAUGUCUUUAAAUCGUGUGUUGGAGCUCGAAAUCGAGCUAAUCGGAGAAUUAAAGUAACUCGCCACCGGCGAACUUCGGAAGAAUUUUCCGGCCACCACACGCAUCCACCAUAAAAACUGAAGCCACCAACGUGUUCCUCGUGUAGAGAGCUUCAAAUCUACACCUUGGUGUUGAGUUUGGAGCUCCGUAUCGAUUUUCCGGCGGAAAUCCGGUGAAGAUCGCCGGAGAUGGUGACCGGAGGGGUCAAAUUGCAAUUUGACCCCCGAACUUUUGAAGAUGUUGCAAUCAGACCCUGUAGUUUCUGAAUUGUCAGUUCGGUCACCCCUAAAGUUUUUAAAACUAUCAUUUUAAACCCUGAACUUUUAAAAUCUUUGGGAAAGUUUUAUUUAUUUAAUUUAAUUUUGAAAAUCAUUUAUGUUAAUUUCAAAAAAUUAGUUUUAAUUAUUUAUUAAUUCAAAAAUAAUUCUGAUUUAAAUUAUUAAUUAAUUUUAAUUAGUAAUUAAUUAUUAUAAUUAGUCAAUUAAUUUAAAUAUUAAUUGAUUAAUUGUUUUAAUUAAUUAUUAAUUAAUUAUAAUUGAUUUAUUAAUUAGAUUUAAUUAUUUUAAAUGAUUUUAAAAUUCCGAAAAAUAGUUUCGAGCUUUGAAAUAUUAUUCUAAAAUAUGUUUGAAGCUCGUUAAUUGAUUUCAAAUGAUUUCGGACUUGAUUUCGAGUAUCCAAAAUUGAUUAUUUAUUUAUAAAAUGAUUCUUUGACCCGUUUUAAUUCCGAAAAAUGUUUUAAAAUCCAUAUCAAAUGCCAGAAAACUCCUUUUGACUUCAAACCUUCUUUGAAAGAUAAAUUUUAUUGAAUAUCUUAUUUGAUAUGUGUUAUGUGAUAUCUGAUUGAUGUGUUACAUGUCUAUGUGAACCUUAUAUGAUUGUUUUUGACAUAUCUUUUAAUCCGUAAAUCGGAUUUGGGUGAAACGAAGGGUAGAUAGAAACUCGUUGCGAAGGUGUGAUAAUAAGAAGAGUAUGAGAUCAUAUAUUGAUAAAGAAUUGUUGUGAUUAGCAGAGAAGCGAGACGUAAAAAGGGGAAAGCAAGUGGUGAUAGAGUAGUAUAGCGAGCAAGCGUAGUUGAAACUUGAGAUCAGCUAUAUAAGGCAAGUUCCCUGAGACUUUCCUCCAAUUAUAUACUGUAUCUGUUGUGAUUAUUUAGCGAGCUUUCUAAUUAAGCCCUGUGAUCUAUUGAAUUAUAGCAUGGAUUAUUUAUCCUAGUGAUUUUUGAACCUUCAACCAGAUUCCUUGAAUUAUAAUAUGGAUUAUUUACUUUAUUGAUUCUUGAACCUUUGACCCGAUUCUUUGAUACCUGCUACGAAACCUAUUUCAAUUGUAAACCUUCAAUUUUUAAAACUUCUAAAUGAUUACCAUAAGAACCUAAUUUCAUUUCAAGAACAUACCCUCGAUACCUCAACCAGUUAUCAAUCACACAUCCUUCAGACCUUAACCACUUGAUCAACACCAAAUAACGUCUGUUAUAACAUAUACCUUACAGUUGCUUGAUUCUUUCCAUAAACUCAAGUUUAUUGAUCUUAAAAGUAUUCAUUUAUACUUGGAUCCUGUUUGUGAACCUAGAACCCUUCUUCAUAUAAACAUUAAACUUUGAUAUACUUUGUCAUCCAAUCAUGCGAUAUCUGAUUCUUUGAUAAACCCUGAAGUUGUUCUCAUUCCUCUUUUGAAAUACAUCUGAGACACUUUGAAUAGUGGUCUGCUUCUGCUUCAAAAUUUAUUUAUGAUAUUGGUGUUUCUAUUUUAUUGAAUAAUAUUGUUGAUCAUCUUGAUUGUGAAAGAAUUGGAUAGUUUUCUAAACUUGGACCAAAUGAGUGGUCAGACCAGAUGAGUGGUCGCUUUAGGCCAAUGUGUGCCUUGGAUCCAGUAAACGAGCAUGGUGGGACCUGCUCGGGGUUAGUGUCUGACUGAUCAGCAGCCUAACCUUUGAUUUUUAAAAAUAAAUUUAAUAUCCAAUUCUAAUUGAUACUCUAAAAACAAAUCUUGAUAUUGAGAUUGAUUCCAUUAGACACUGGUUUCCUUCAGCUUAUGAUUAAUAUUUUAAAAUUGAUAUUGUUAUACUUGCUGAGCUCGUUAGCUCACUCUUGCGAUACUUUAUGUUCUUUCCAGUGAAGGCAGAGAAAGUUGGUAACGAUGACCCUCAGGCUAGUGGUAAGGCCAGGAUUCCAGGCUGAGAGAUGGAGAGAGCUAUCAGCAGCAAUUGGCUUUUUAUAUAUGUACUAGUUUGAAUAACAAGACACAAAUGAUGUGUAAGCUUGUAAGAAUUAAGUUUAUAUUUUGGGAUUUGGGUUUGUAAUAAUUAAAGUUAUGUUGUGGCUUGUUUUAUACUUUAACCUG
rnacentral:lncRNA from 1 species